GACGAACCGUGCGAACGUUAUUCGGAAUCACUGGGCUUAAAGCGCGUGUAGGCGGCUAUGCAAGUCGGGCGUGAAAGCCCUCGGCUCAACCGAGGAAGUGCACUCGAAACUGCGUAGCUAGAGUCCCGGAGAGGAAGGUGGAAUACUUGGUGUAGAGGUGAAAUUCGUAGAUAUCAAGUGGAACACCGGUGGCGAAGGCGGCCUUCUGGACGGUGACUGACGCUGAGACGCGAAAGCGUGGGGAGCAAACAGG
rnacentral:rRNA from 1 species